rnacentral:tRNA from 1 species
UGCCUAAUGGCUGAGUUCAAAAGCGGUAGACUGUAGAUCUAUUUACGUAAUAAUAUUUCUUAGGUAA